rnacentral:rRNA from 1 species
UACGAAGGGGGCUAGCGUUGCUCGGAAUCACUGGGCGUAAAGCGCACGUAGGCGGCUUUUUAAGUCAGGGGUGAAAUCCUGGAGCUCAACUCCAGAACUGCCUUUGAUACUGAGAAGCUUGAGUCCGGGAGAGGUGAGUGGAACUGCGAGUGUAGAGGUGAAAUUCGUAGAUAUUCGCAAGAACACCAGUGGCGAAGGCGGCUCACUGGCCCGGUACUGACGCUGAGGUGCGAAAGCGUGGGGAGUAAACAGG